AAAGCCUACCAGACAAUGAUGCAUAGCCGAGUUGAAGACUGAUUGGCCACAUUGGGACUGAGACACGGCCCAAACUCCUACGGGAGGCUGCAGUAGGGAAUCUUCACCAUGGGCGAAAGCCUGAUGGAGCAACGCCGCGUGUGUGAUGAAGGCUUUCGGGUCGUAAAGCACUGUUGUAUGGGAAGAAAAGUUAAGGUAGGGAAUGACCUUAGCCUGACGGUACCAUACCAGAAAGGGACGGCUAAAUACGUGCCAGCAGCCGCGGUAAUACGUAUGUCCCGAGCGUUAUCCGGAUUUAUUGGGCGUAAAGCGAGCGCAGACGGUUGGUUAAGUCUGAUGUGAAAGCCCGGAGCUCAACUCCGGAAAGGCAUUGGAAACUGGUUAACUUGAGUGCAGUAGAGGUAAGUGGAACUCCAUGUGUAGCGGUGGAAUGCGUAGAUAUAUGGAAGAACACCAGCGGCGAAGGCGGCUUACUGGACUGUAACUGACGUUGAGGCUCGAAAGUGUGGGUAGCAAACAGGAUUAGAUACCCUGGUAGUCCACACCGUAAACGAUGAACACUAGGUGUUAGGAGGUUUCCGCCUCUUAGUGCCGAAGCUAACGCAUUAAGUGUUCCGCCUGGGGAGUACGACCGCAAGGUUGAAACUCAAAGGAAUUGACGGGGACCCGCACAAGCGGUGGAGCAUGUGGUUUAAUUCGAAGCAACGCGAAGAACCUUACCAGGUCUUGACAUCCUUUGAAGCUUUUAGAAAUAGAAGUGUUCUCUUCGGAGACAAAGUGACAGGUGGUGCAUGGUCGUCGUCAGCUCGUGUCGUGAGAUGUUGGGUUAAGUCCCGCAACGAGCGCAACCCUUAUUGUUAGUUGCCAGCAUUCAGAUGGGCACUCUAGCGAGACUGCCGGUGACAAACCGGAGGAAGGCGGGGACGACGUCAGAUCAUCAUGCCCCUUAUGACCUGGGCUACACACGUGCUACAAUGGCGUAUACAACGAGUUGCCAACCUGCGAAGGUGAGCUAAUCUCUUAAAGUACGUCUCAGUUCGGACUGCAGUCUGCAACUCGACUGCACGAAGUCGGAAUCGCUAGUAAUCGCGGAUCAGCACGCCGCGGUGAAUACGUUCCCGGGUCUUGUACACACCGCCCGUCACACCAUGGAAGUUUGUAAUGCCCAAAGCCGGUGGCCUAACCGUAAGGAGGAACCGUCUAAGGCAGAC
rnacentral:rRNA from 1 species